CUGCUCUCGAUGGUCGGGACGCAGGGAAUGCCGGGACGGCGGAGGACUUUACUGCGCGGGCUGCGCGCCGACGGGGAUGUGGGUCGCCUCAGGCGGAGCGCUGCGGUGGCGGAGCCUGAGGAGAGGCCGGAGCGGGUCUGGCUGAGGUUGUCGCCGGUCUAGGCACAUGGCUCGUCCGCUCCUUGGGCAUCCUCCGCGUCAGUCAGCCCGGGUAGGCGCAAAUUGAAUGCUUGCGCCUACCCGGGGACAGCCGCAGCCCACAGAGGGGCGUCUCUGUAGGAACCAAAAAGUUUUAUUUUCGCGCUUUUAUAAAUCGUACCGGAAGUGAGGAGAAGGGAUAAAAAACAUGUUCCCUUGUACACACUUUUUUAAAUGACUCAAAAGGACUACGUUGUUAUGCAGUUCCCGGCGAGGCAGCCCGGGCACUUGAGAGGAACCUGCGAGGGGACUGAAGAAGCAGUCGGAGAGGAAGAGAUCAGGAGGCGUUUAUUAUUAGAGAAGCCAAGGAAACACAGCGACUCAAGAAGGAGGGAGUGACCAACUGCUAAGGGGUCAAGUAAGAGGACUGAAGAAUGUCACAUGUAUAUAUGAGAAGCCAUUGGUGACCUUCGCGAGAGCUAUUUAGGUAGAGAGAGGGAAGCCAGACCAAAGAGCUAGUCUAUGACAAAGCUGAAGGAUUUUUAAAGGGGUCUAAAAAAUCAUCAGAUUGAGGAAGGCUGUGGCUUGUCAACCUCCGGAGGAAUCAAAGCUCACCCUUGUUGAGGUGCAAAGCUACUGCCUGAAGUCUUAACAUCCUUAAAAGUGUUUUCAAGUCUGAGGGUGAUGAUCCCUGGAGAUGAAUCUGAAGAAUACAGAACAGAAAGAUGGAAUGACACUGGGCCUUUAAUGAUGUUAUUCAGCCACUGAAUUGGAAAACCCUAGACUAGUCACUCUACCUCUAAAUAUGUAAGAUAUCACAUCUCUAUGUUGUUAAAACAGAGAUUUCAGUUACUUACAAAGUCAUUCUAACUGAUAUAAAUUCCAGAAUGUGGAGGACUUGUUGCUCAGUUGACUCUCUUAAUAAAGGAAUUCAAAGCUUACAUUUCCAGUGACUGAGGAUGACUGAGAUAAGACAUGAAUGGAAUCAACUGGUCUCAAAGUUCAGAAUGGAACUCUGGUAUAAAGUCAUUUUGGGGUUGGAACCAAUAGGUCUUUAAUAUUCUUUGGGUCUGAAAACUGGCAGUAGAUGGUAGGACAGAGAUAGGCACUUUUUUUUUUUAGAAGGUAGGUACUUUUUUUUUUUUUUUUUGUAUCAUUAAUCUACAAUUGCAUGAGGAACAUUAUGUUUACUAAACUCCCUCCAACACCAAGUCCCCCUGCCCAACAUACCCCAUUACAGUCAUUGUCCAUCAGCGUAGUAAGAUGCUAUAGAAUCACUACUUGUUGAAGGUAGGUACUUUUUAAGGCACUCAAAGGACUUCAUCUAUGGAAGUUGACAUUUCUGAGUUGGUAUGGGUGGAAGCUGGCACUGGCUGAGACUCUUGGGUACUCCUUUUUAAAAAAAAAUGAAAAUUCACAUGUCAUAAAAUCCACCAUUUUAAGAGUACAGAUCUCUGGUUUUUAGUAUAUUCCAAGUGUAUAAUCACCACCAUUAUAAUUAAAGAACUUUUUCACUCAUCAAUUGAUAGACAU